rnacentral:rRNA from 1 species
CCUACGGUGGGCAGCAGUGGGGAAUAUUGGGCAAUGGGCGCAAGCCUGACCCAGCAACGCCGCGUGAAGGAAGAAGGCUUUCGGGUUGUAAACUUCUUUUGUCAGGGACGAAGCAAGUGACGGUACCUGACGACUAAGCCACGGCUAACUACGUGCCAGCAGCCGCGGUAAUACGUAGGUGGCAAUCGUUAUCCGGAUUUACUGGUUGUAAAGGGCGUGGAGGCGGGACUGGAAGUCAGAGGGGAAAACCACGGGCUCAACCUGUGGCCUGCAUUUGAAACUGUAGUUCGUGAGUACUGGAGAGGCAGACGGAAUUCCUAGGGUAGCGGUGAAAUGCGUAGAUAGUAGGAGGAACACCAGUGGCGAAGGCGGUCUGCUGGACAGCAACUGACGCUGAGGCGCGAAAGCGUGGGGAGCAAACAGGAUUAGAUACCCGUGUAGUC